UGUGGGAGCUGGCUUGCCUGCGAUGGCGGUGGUUCAGCCAGUACAUUUGCGACUGAUACACCGUUAUCGCAGGCAAGCCAGCUCCCACA
rnacentral:misc_RNA from 1 species